AGACCCGAAACCCGGUGAUCUAGCCAUGGGCAGGUUGAAGGUUGGGUAACACUAACUGGAGGACCGAACCGACUAAUGUUGAAAAAUUAGCGGAUGACCUGUGGCUGGGGGUGAAAGGCCAAUCAAACCGGGAGAUAGCUGGUUCUCCCCGAAAGCUAUUUAGGUAGCGCCUCGUGAAUUCAUCUCCGGGGGUAGAGCACUGUUUCGGCUAGGGGGCCAUCCCGGCUUACCAACCCGAUGCAAACUGCGAAUACCGGAGAAUGUUAUCACGGGAGACACACGGCGGGUGCUAACGUCCGUCGUGAAGAGGGAAACAACCCAGACCGCCAGCUAAGGUCCCAAAGUCAUGGUUAAGUGGGAAACGAUGUGGGAAGGCCCAGACAGCCAGGAUGUUGGCUUAGAAGCAGCCAUCAUUUAAAGAAAGCGUAAUAGCUCACUGGUCGAGUCGGCCUGCGCGGAAGAUGUAACGGGGCUAAACCAUGCACCGAAGCUGCGGCAGCGACACUGUGUGUUGUUGGGUAGGGGAGCGUUCUGUAAGCCUGUGAAGGUGUGUCGUGAGGCAUGCUGGAGGUAUCAGAAGUGCGAAUGCUGACAUAAGUAACGAUAAAGCGGGUGAAAAGCCCGCUCGCCGGAAGACCAAGGGUUCCUGUCCAACGUUAAUCGGGGCAGGGUGAGUCGACCCCUAAGGCGAGGCCGAAAGGCGUAGUCGAUGGGAAACGGGUUAAUAUUCCCGUACUUGGUGUUACUGCGAAGGGGGGACGGAGAAGGCUAUGUUGGCCGGGCGACGGUUGUCCCGGUUUAAGCGUGUAGGUGUGUGUUCCAGGUAAAUCCGGUUCACUUUAACACUGAGGCGUGAUGACGAGGCACUACGGUGCUGAAGCAACAAAUGCCCUGCUUCCAGGAAAAGCCUCUAAGCAUCAGGUAACAUCAAAUCGUACCCCAAACCGACACAGGUGGUCAGGUAGAGAAUACCAAGGCGCUUGAGAGAACUCGGGUGAAGGAACUAGGCAAAAUGGUGCCGUAACUUCGGGAGAAGGCACGCUGACACGUAGGUGAAGUGAUUUACUCAUGGAGCUGAAGUCAGUCGAAGAUACCAGCUGGCUGCAACUGUUUAUUAAAAACACAGCACUGUGCAAACACGAAAGUGGACGUAUACGGUGUGACGCCUGCCCGGUGCCGGAAGGUUAAUUGAUGGGGUCAGCGCAAGCGAAGCUCCUGAUCGAAGCCCCGGUAAACGGCGGCCGUAACUAUAACGGUCCUAAGGUAGCGAAAUUCCUUGUCGGGUAAGUUCCGACCUGCACGAAUGGCGUAAUGAUGGCCAGGCUGUCUCCACCCGAGACUCAGUGAAAUUGAACUCGCUGUGAAGAUGCAGUGUACCCGCGGCAAGACGGAAAGACCCCGUGAACCUUUACUAUAGCUUGACACUGAACAUUGAGCCUUGAUGUGUAGGAUAGGUGGGAGGCUUUGAAGUGUGGACGCCAGUCUGCAUGGAGCCGACCUUGAAAUACCACCCUUUAAUGUUUGAUGUUCUAACGUGGACCCGUGAUCCGGGUUGCGGACAGUGUCUGGUGGGUAGUUUGACUGGGGCGGUCUCCUCCUAAAGAGUAACGGAGGAGCACGAAGGUUGGCUAAUCCUGGUCGGACAUCAGGAGGUUAGUGCAAUGGCAUAAGCCAGCUUGACUGCGAGCGUGACGGCGCGAGCAGGUGCGAAAGCAGGUCAUAGUGAUCCGGUGGUUCUGAAUGGAAGGGCCAUCGCUCAACGGAUAAAAGGUACUCCGGGGAUAACAGGCUGAUACCGCCCAAGAGUUCAUAUCGACGGCGGUGUUUGGCACCUCGAUGUCGGCUCAUCACAUCCUGGGGCUGAAGUAGGUCCCAAGGGUAUGGCUGUUCGCCAUUUAAAGUGGUACGCGAGCUGGGUUUAGAACGUCGUGAGACAGUUCGGUCCCUAUCUGCCGUGGGCGCUGGAGAACUGAGGGGGGCUGCUCCUAGUACGAGAGGACCGGAGUGGACGCAUCACUGGUGUUCGGGUUGUCAUGCCAAUGGCACUGCCCGGUAGCUAAAUGCGGAAGAGAUAAGUGCUGAAAGCAUCUAAGCACGAAACUUGCCCCGAG
rnacentral:rRNA from 1 species